rnacentral:misc_RNA from 1 species
UGGAUGUUAGGAGCCUAGGUGAAUCAAGUGCUCAGCUUGCCUCCCAUCUCGAUAUUACACGACUCGAGCCCUUGCUCGUGGAAAUUUUCAGUUUACAAAAGUGACAUCAAAUGACACGCAAUGAAAAAAUGGGAUUUAGCAGAAUAGUAACUUGGUUUGUUUUUUUUGGCAUCAACGACCCUGUACAAUAUGGCAUCAUCAUGCUCUGUAUGUUGUCUUCAUGUUCUGAAGCACCAGGCUCCGGCAGCUAAGCUAUUAUUGUCUUGGAAUUGGGAUUAGUGUAGGAAUGGCAGGAUCAGUGUAGAGAUGGCAGGAUCAAUCCUACAGGAUUAGUCUUGUUAAGGUUAUCCGGACUUAAUGUUAUUGUUGUGGAAUGAAUGAAGGGAAAGUUAAAAAAAGUUUUGUGAGCAUGUGUGAUAUUUGUAUAAAUGUUUACUGGAAUUUAUAGUAAUGUAUUUUGUGAUGAAAUCAAGUAUUUCUGUGAUGAAAUGGGUUUUAGUUUGAAAAACCUCUCCUUCAAGGAAUUGGAGGAGAAAACUCCCUAGAUUUUUAUAUAUGUAUGUCGGCCUUUGCAAGUUGCAAAUAGUAGAUGGUAGUCAGUAUUGAAGCAUGUCAAAGCUUUUAUGUGCUGGAGUAGUAACUGCCUAAUUCGUGUGUGUAGAUAGACAUUGACACGCGGUGGAAUGUCUCUGACUGUUGGGCCUCAGGGAGGACAAAUCGUUCAGGGAAAAAAUCUUCUGGCUCGGCAGCUCCUACCUCUAGACCAUACUCACUAUUACCCAUCAACCACUGCAACAAUUCCCAGUCACUGCAGCGUAUCGCUUUUGUAUUUUCUCAUGUGUGCAAGCUUUUUGUUAUUUUUUUUUUUUUUUUUUGAGAAACAAGUGCUACAAUUGUAAGAUGCUUUUUAUUAAAAUUUAGAGGGGAAAUAUUCUCUUUAUUGCUUUGUAAGUGUGUCCACGAGUCAAAUUCUGUUCAUCUUCUUUUCUUUUCAUUUUGAGACAGAAUAUUAACAUAUCUUGAAUUCUUAGGAAUUUGUACUGCAUAUCUACAUUGUACAUACACGUGAGUGCAUUAUUAAUUAAUCGAUGAGCAACUGUUAUGAUGUACCAUUUCACGAUGUGAGUGUGGUCACAAGUUAAUGCACCAUCAGUUGCACUGUGAUGGAGAAAUCCUUCUAAAAUGACAGGGACCCACAACCUUGGAAGAAGAGGAAUUUUUCAAGAUGACGCAUGAUAUCAUUCAUAAUAACAGGACGGCUUAAAUACAAGUCUCUGCUGUGUUUUAUUAUAACCUAGAAGACGUCUAUUGAUUUCUCGUCCCUGCUUGAAUGUAAGUGAAUAUCGAUCCACCUUUUUUUAAUACCCAGCCUGGCCAAAGGUGCAAAAAUCAAGGUUGUGGGGGCCCAAUUCCUAGCGCCUUAUGAUGUUAAGUACCAGUGGUAAAAGUUAUAUGGCAUGCUUGAUAUUGGUACCCGAAUGCAUUUAGUGUGUGUUUUACUUGACUGUUUAAACAUGUUUCGAGUGAGAGUCAGUGAAUGAGUGAUGGCAUUGUAUUUGUGCUUUAAACCUGUUUCUGUCAACUUGUUCUGUUUAUGACUGGUUAAAUAAACAGAAAAUCCCCUUCCCUACCCUCCUACCCCCCCCCCUUUCCCCCCGAGUUAUCAUGUUUGUCAUAAUGCCCCUAUUGCUUACAUCGGGUGGUCUUAUAUAACGUUGUUUUGAAUAUUGUUCAGAUUUUAGAAGAUUUUAACCAUUUACAUGUAUAUGUUUUGUUUAUGUAAAGAGAGUCUAAAAGUCGAUGUCCAUUUCAUAGCUACUUAAUGAGCAUGCAGAUCAGGGUGGUAUUCACUUUUUAUUAACUCUUCAAACUUUACAAAUCUCCAUAUUUUUCAAUCUAUUUAGUUUUUUAUACUUUUUGUUGGAGAAAAAUAAUAGUUCAAACUCUUUAGAUUUGAUGAUAAGCUCUUGUUAUUAAACUACUGAUUAAAAGUAAAUUUGGAGAUUAAUUUUCAUAUCCACCUAAAUCUUAGUUCUGAAAUAUUUGUUGGCAAAUUAAUUAUCCAAAUCUCUGUGAACUGGAUCACAUGAUGUUCCGCAUUCCCAUCAUGCACCUGAUGCAUGCACAUAUCGUCCAUGUUCAUUGUUGUGACGUUGUGUUCUGGGCAUUUUUUACAAUUUUUUCUUUUGAUCCUUCCACUGUGAUCUCAUGUCAAAAUGUAUCCGGUGGAUCCAAGAAUUUGUGUGCACUAGGCGUGGGCGCGAGAGAUAAAUGAAGUGUGAUGCUAUGAGUGUUAUGAUAAUGCAUAUUAUUACAGUCCGUUAUGUAAUUCUGUUGUUCAAGCUUUGACCAAAUGAUAUCAGACAAGUACUGCAGUUAUGUUGAAACAAUUUCUACAAUAUGAAAGUGCUAAUAUUUAAUGAAUGUUUCUGUAGUGACCAAAUUUUAUACGUGUCUACGUGUAGAUGUUUUUGCAUUUACCUGUUAUUGUCAAUAUGGAUUCUCUUUAAGUAGAAUUAUAUACUUAGUUAAUGGAACAUAAUUGCCAAAAAAAAAUUAAUUGAAUACAUAAUAUUAUCCAUGACCUAUACUUGUACUGAAAAUAGCUCAAAACUUGACAUUUUCUGCUUUUUUCUUUGAUAUGUCAUUCAGGAAAAAUGAAAUGGAGAAAGUACAACACAUUUUUGUUAAUUGUUUAAAAGAUUUCCUGUUGUCAUUUAUGGCCUAGUUUAUGUAUUGGCAAUGAAGCUAUUCAUGAGAUGAUAUCAUUGUGUUGCUCAAAACAGCAAUUUGUCUAUUGUUGAAUAAAAAAAGUAUGGGUGACAACAUU